rnacentral:rRNA from 1 species
AGAGUUUGAUCCUGGCUCAGGAUGAACGCUAGCGGCAGGCUUAACACAUGCAAGUCGAGGGGCAGCGUGGAGUAGCAAUACUCUGACGGCGACCGGCGAAAGGGUGAGUAACGCGUGAGCAACAUGCCCGGUACCGGGGGAUAGUCGAUGGAAACGUCGUGUAAUACCCCGUAACAACAGAGGCCGCAUGACCUUUGUUUAAGAGAUUUAUCGCUACCGGAUUGGCUCGCGUCCCAUUAGGCAGUUGGCGGGGUAACGGCCCACCAAACCGACGAUGGGUAGGGGUUCUGAGAGGAAGGUCCCCCACAUUGGAACUGAGACACGGUCCAGACUCCUACGGGAGGCAGCAGUGAGGAAUAUUGGACAAUGGCCGAGAGGCUGAUCCAGCCAUGCCGCGUGCGGGAGGACGGCCCUAUGGGUUGUAAACCGCUUUUGUUGGGGAGCAAUAAGGUCCACGUGUGGAUCGACGAGAGUACCCAGCGAAUAAGCAUCGGCUAACUCCGUGCCAGCAGCCGCGGUAAUACGGAGGAUGCAAGCGUUAUCCCGGAUUUAUUGGGUUUAAAGGGUGCGUAGGCGGAAGCUUAAGCGUGAGGUGAAAUGCCGGGGCUCAACUCCGGAACUGCCUCGCGAACUGGGUUUCUUGAAUGCCCCUGCCGUGGGAGGAAUGUGUGGUGUA